UACGUAGGGUGCAAGCGUUGUCCGGAAUGAUUGGGCGUAAAGCGUCCGCAGGUGGCAAUGUAAGUCUGCUGUCAAAGCGUCUGGCUCAACCAGAUAAAGGCAGUGGAAACUACAUAGCUAGAGUAAGGUAGGGGUAGAGGGAAUUCCUGGUGUAGCGGUGAAAUGCGUAGAGAUCAGGAAGAACACCGGUGGCGAAAGCGCUCUGCUGGACCUUAACUGACACUGAGGGACGAAAGCUAGGAGAGCGAAUGGG
rnacentral:rRNA from 1 species